UACGUAGGGUGCGAGCGUUAAUCGGAAUUACUGGGCGUAAAGCGUGCGCAGGCGGUUUUGUAAGCCAGAUGUGAAAUCCCCGGGCUUAACCCGGGAAUGGCAUUUGGGACUGCAAGGCUUGAGUGCGGCAGAGGAGACUGGAAUUCCUGGUGUAGCAGUGAAAUGCGUAGAUAUCAGGAGGAACACCGAUGGCGAAGGCAGGUCUCUGGGCUGACACUGACGCUCAUGCACGAAAGCGUGGGGAGCAAACAGG
rnacentral:rRNA from 1 species